AUGCAGUCGAGCGGCAGCGACAUAAACNAACCUUCGGGGGCGUUUAUGGGCGGCGAGCGGCGGACGGGUGAGUAAUGCCUGGGANNNNGCCCUGAUGUGGGGGANAACCAUUGGAAACGAUGGCUAAUACCGCAUGAUAGCUUCGGCUCAAAGAGGGGGACCUUCGGGCCUCUCGCGUCAGGAUAUGCCCAGGUGGGAUUAGCUAGUUGGUGAGGUAAGGGCUCACCAAGGCAACGAUCCCUAGCUGGUCUGAGAGGAUGAUCAGCCACACUGGGACUGAGACACGGCCCAGACUCCUACGGGAGGCAGCAGUGGGGAAUAUUGCACAAUGGGCGCAAGCCUGAUGCAGCCAUGCCGCGUGUGUGAAGAAGGCCUUCGGGUUGUAAAGCACUUUCAGCAGUGAGGAAGGCAAUGUAUUUAAUAGAUGCAUUGUUUGACGUUAGCUGCAGAAGAAGCACCGGCUA
rnacentral:rRNA from 1 species